UACGAAGGGGGCUAGCGUUGCUCGGAAUCACUGGGCGUAAAGCGCACGUAGGCGGAUUGUUAAGUCAGGGGUGAAAUCCUGGAGCUCAACUCCAGAACUGCCUUUGAUACUGGCGAUCUUGAGUCCGGGAGAGGUGAGUGGAACUGCGAGUGUAGAGGUGAAAUUCGUAGAUAUUCGCAAGAACACCAGUGGCGAAGGCGGCUCACUGGUCCGGUUCUGACGCUGAGGCGCGAAAGCGUGGGGAGCAAACAGG
rnacentral:rRNA from 1 species